GGGUUUGUGGCUCAGUGGUAGAAUGCUUGCCUAGCAUGCAUGAGGCACUGGGUUCAAUCCCCAGCACCA
rnacentral:tRNA from 1 species